rfam:Lactobacillus equi DPC 6820 NODE_69, whole genome shotgun sequence.
CGGUUGUUAGUAAUUAUCGCUAAAGCGUUAGUUGCUAAGUAAUUGUACUUCAAAGCGCAGGAGUUCGCCGUGCCCACACCGAACAUCUGCGCUAUUCG